UUUCGAUGAGGCCGAGAACAGGAUGAAAUUUUUGGCGGACAGUGACUCGGAUAUAACUAAAGGGUUUUGCGCGUGUUUGGUUUCGCUGCUGGACGGAGCUACUCCCGAUGAGGUGCUGGCGUUGAAAACGGAGAACUUGAAUGCUUUGAAUGUUGGGGGGUUGAACGGGAAAGGAUCUGCAUCUAGGGCGAAUACGUGGCAUAAUGUGUUGUUGGCUUUGAAAACGGAGGACUUGAAUGCUUUGAAGGUUGCGGGGUUGAACGGGAAAGGAUCUGCAUCUAGGGCGAAUACGUGGCAUAAUGUGUUGGUCAGCAUGCAGAAAAGGACGAGGGCCUUGGUGGCGG
rnacentral:lncRNA from 1 species